CAGACGAUGCGUCAUGCAUAUCAAUAAGCGGAGGAAAAGAAACUAACAAGGAUUCCCCUAGUAACGGCGAGUGAAGCGGGAAGAGCUCAAAUUUGAAAUCUUAAAGGGUUUCCCUUUACGAAUUGUAGUUUAAAGAAGUGUUUUCUGUUGAGGUUUUGGUAAAAGUUCUUUGGAAUAGGACAUCAUAGAGGGUGAGAAUCCCGUAUUUGACCUUUACUUUCAACUUUGUGAUACACUUUCAAAGAGUCGGAUUGUUUGGGAAUGCAGUCCAAAAUGGGUGGUAAAUUUCAUCUAAAGCUAAAUAUUGGCGAGAGACCGAUAGCGAACAAGUACCGUGAGGGAAAGAUGAAAAGAACUUUGAAAAGAGAGUUAAACAGUAUGUGAAAUUGUCAAAAGGGAAGCGUUUGACACCAGUGUUGUUUUUCUGAAAAUCAAUUAAAGAACUGUUUAUGCUAAGUUGUUUAGACUUUAUCAGCUAUCUGUUUAGUUUUGAGCUUUUCUUUAAUGCACUUUUCAGUUAACAAGUCAACAUCAAUUUCCUUUGCUGUAAAAAAGCUUGAGGAAGGUGGCUUGAGAUUCGUCUUAAGUGUUUAUAGCCUCUUGCCUAUGCAGUCGGAGAGAUUGAGGUCUGCAGCGUAGAUCCUUCGGGGCUAAAUGCAUUUGUGCUAAGUUAUAGCAUUUUAUAGACAACUUGUUGACUAUGAUUUGUCUUGUAGCUUACUCGCUUAUGUUAUUUUACCUACGCUUAGGAUGUUGAGCGCAUGUCUCUCUCU
rnacentral:rRNA from 1 species